rnacentral:rRNA from 1 species
UACGGGGGGGGCAAGCGUUGUUCGGAAUUACUGGGCGUAAAGGGCUCGUAGGUGGCCAACUAAGUCAGACGUGAAAUCCCUCGGCUUAACCGGGGAACUGCGUCUGAUACUGGAUGGCUUGAGUUUGGGAGAGGGACGCGGAAUUCCAGGUGUAGCGGUGAAAUGCGUAGAUAUCUGGAGGAACACCGGUGGCGAAGGCGGCGACCUGGUCCGAUACUGACGCUGAGGCGCGAAAGCGUGGGGAGCAAACAGG